rnacentral:rRNA from 1 species
CGCGUAGGCGGCCUUAUAAGUCAGAUGUGGAAGUCCACGGCUCAACCGUGGAAGUGCAUUUGAAACUGUGGGGCUUGAGUAUCGGAGGGGAGUGUGGAAUUCCCGGUGUAGAGGUGAAAUUCGUAGAGAUCGGGAGGAACACCGGUGGCGAAGGCGACACUCUGGACGAAUACUGACGCUGAGGCGCGAAAGCGUGGGGAGCAAACA